rnacentral:rRNA from 1 species
GACGAACGCUGGCGGCGUGCUUAACACAUGCAAGUCGAACGCUGAAGCACCAGCUUGCUGGUGUGGAUGAGUGGCGAACGGGUGAGUAAUACGUGAGUAACCUGCCCUUGACUCUGGGAUAAGCCCGGGAAACUGGGUCUAAUACUGGAUGCUACAUGUCACCGCAUGGUGGUGUGUGGAAAGGGUUUACUGGUCUUGGAUGGGCUCACGGCCUAUCAGCUUGUUGGUGAGGUAAUGGCUCACCAAGGCGACGACGGGUAGCCGGCCUGGGAGGGUGACCGGCCCCACUGGGACUGGGGCACGGCCCAGACUCCUACGGGGGGCAGGAGUGGGGAAUAUUGCACAAUGGGCGAGAGCCUGAUGCAGCGGCGCCGCGGGAGGGAUGACGGGCUUCGGGUUGUAAAACUCUUUCAGCAGGGAAGAAGCCACAAGUGACGGUACCUGCAGAAGAAGCGCCGGCUAACUACGUG